GAUGAACGCUGGCGGCGUGCCUAAUACAUGCAAGUAGAACGCUGAAGGAGGAGCUUGCUCUUCUGGAUGAGUUGCGAACGGGUGAGUAACGCGUAGGUAACCUGCCUGGUAGCGGGGGAUAACUAUUUGAAACGAUAGCUAAUACCGCAUGACAACAGUUAUUGCAUGAUAACUGUUUAAAAGGGGCAACUGCUCCACUACCAGAUGGACCUGCGUUGUAUUAGCUAGUUGGUGAGGUAACGGCUCACCAAGGCGACGAUACAUAGCCGACCUGAGAGGGUGAUCGGCCACACUGGGACUGAGACACGGCCCAGACUCCUACGGGAGGCAGCAGUAGGGAAUCUUCGGCAAUGGACGGAAGUCUGACCGAGCAACGCCGCGUGAGUGAAGAAGGUUUUCGGAUCGUAAAGCUCUGUUGUAAGAGAAGAACGAGUGUGAGAGUGGAAAGUUCACACUGUGACGGUAUCUUACCAGAAAGGGACGGCUAACUACGUG
rnacentral:rRNA from 1 species